AUUGAACGCUGGCGGCAUGCCUUACACAUGCAAGUCGAACGGCAGCACGGGUACUUGUACCUGGUGGCGAGUGGCGAACGGGUGAGUAAUACAUCGGAACGUACCUUAUCGUGGGGGAUAACGCAGCGAAAGCUGUGCUAAUACCGCAUACGCCCUGAGGGGGAAAGCGGGGGAUCGAAAGACCUCGCGCGAUUAGAGCGGCCGAUGCUUGAUUAGCUUGUUGGUGGGGUAAAAGCCUACCAAGGCGACGAUCAAUAGCUGGUCUGAGAGGACGAUCAGCCACACUGGGACUGAGACACGGCCCAGACUCCUACGGGAGGCAGCAGUGGGGAAUUUUGGACAAUGGGGGCAACCCUGAUCCAGCAAUGCCGCGUGAGUGAAGAAGGCCUUCGGGUUGUAAAGCUCUUUUGUCAGGGAAGAAACACCGGCUCUAACACAGUCCGGGAGUGACGGUACCUGAAGAAUAAGCACCGG
rnacentral:rRNA from 1 species